rnacentral:rRNA from 1 species
UACGGAGGGUGCGAGCGUUGUCCGGAAUCACUGGGCGUAAAGGGCGCGUAGGCGGCUCAUGAAGGCUGUGGUGAAAGUCCGGGGCUCAACCUCGGAUCGGCCGUGGCGACUCGUGGGCUGGAGCACUGUAGAGGCGGGUGGAAUUCCCGGUGUAGCGGUGAAAUGCGUAGAGAUCGGGAGGAAGGCCGGUGGCGAAGGCGGCGCUCUGGAACAUUUCUGACGCUGAGGCUCGAAAGCGUGGGGAGCAAACAGG